CGGCGGACGGGUGAGUAAUGCCUAGAAUCUGCCUGGUAGUGGGGGACAACGUUUCGAAAGGAACGCUAAUACCGCAUACGUCCUACGGGAGAAAGCAGGGGACCUUCGGGCCUUGCGCUAUCAGAUGAGCCUAGGUCGGAUUAGCUAGUUGGUGAGGUAAUGGCUCACCAAGGCGACGAUCCGUAACUGGUCUGAGAGGAUGAUCAGUCACACUGGAACUGAGACACGGUCCAGACUCCUACGGGAGGCAGCAGGC
rnacentral:rRNA from 1 species